CCUACGGGAGGCAGCAGUAGGGAAUAUUGCUCAAUGGGGGAAACCCUGAAGCAGCAACGCCGCGUGGAGGAUGAAGGUUUUCGGAUUGUAAACUCCUUUUGUUAGAGAAGAUAAUGACGGUAUCUAACGAAUAAGCACCGGCUAACUCCGUGCCAGCAGCCGCGGUAAUACGGAGGGUGCAAGCGUUACUCGGAAUCACUGGGCGUAAAGCGUGCGUAGGCGGGAUAGCAAGUCAGGUGUGAAAUCCUAUGGCUUAACCAUAGAACUGCAUUUGAAACUGUGAUUCUAGAGUAAGGGAGGGGGAGGUGGAAUUCUUGGUGUAGGAGUGAAAUGCGUAGAGAUCAAGAGGAAUACUCGUGGCGAAGGCGAGUUGCUAGACCAUAACUGACGCUGAGGCGCGAAGGCCAGGGGAGCAAAAGGGAUUAGAUACCCUAGUAGUC
rnacentral:rRNA from 1 species